GUCCGUGCUGUAAACGAUGAGUGCUGGAUGUCGGGGUAUUCACUCCCUCGGUAUCGAAGCUAACGCGCUAAGCACUCCGCCUGGGAGUACGGCCGCAAGGUUGAACUCAAAGGAAUUGACGGGGCCCGCACAAGCGGUGGAGUAUGUGGUUUAAUUCGACGCAACGCGCAGAACCUUACCCAGCCUUGACAUCCUCGGAAUCUGGUGGAAACAUCGGAGUGCCAUCGCAAGGUGGAGCCGGGAGACAGGUGCUGCAUGGCUGUCGU
rnacentral:rRNA from 1 species